CUUGGACUGGGGAGAGGCCGCGCUUCCUGACCCGGUCCCUCUGCACCAGCGUGGAGGGGGGAGGGGCGCGCACCCUUUCCGCCCAGGCUUUUGCGGGCUCCUCGGGCCGAACCCGAAGGGGCUGUUCCUGAACCUUGACUUGUUAUCAUAGGGACCCAAGCUCUAUUUUUGUGUGGCCAAUUCGUGCACUGCAGCAAAAUGGCCCUUCAGUCGCGUCUUGGGGUUUCUCCUCGGUUCAAAUGCUCUCGCGCUGAGAAAAAGCCGGAGGAAAAAAAAGCGACACCCUCCCUCCCCCAUUAAUUAUUUGUGGGGCCGGAGUAACGCGGGCUGGUGCAACCGGUGCAUAUAAGGACUUGUGUGCAAGGAAGGGGAUCCGCCUCCAGGCGCGGAAAGAGUAGGGAAGAAGCGCACACGCACAGUGCACCCAGCUGGGCGCUUCGGCAGUUUGCAGCUGCGGCGGGGUCGGGUCCACCCGCGGUCCCCGGAAUGCCGGACGGCUGAUCCCGGGUGCUGGUCACUCGCCGAUUCGGGGCUGGGAAGGUUUGCCAGAAGCGGGAAAGAUGGGAGAUCUGAGCGCUCUCUUGGCAUCGCCACACCCAGGACUUGCUCGUGCCGCAAUUCCCCACGGAAACAACCGAGUUGAAACGAGAAGCUUGCUCUCUGGGUGCAGUAGCUAGAAGGCUUCAGGUAACUCCAAAGCCAACACUGGGUGAGGCAACACACGCCGCCUCAGGACUCAGCAUUUCUUUCAGGCUGCGUUUUCGUGGCAGACCUACCCAGAUUGAUGGAGAAAGUUUGGCUGGCGGAUAAGAAGUAACGCGGAAGAUGUAUUAUUGUGGCUGUCACUCAGGUUUUCUGCUCAUUGGUAGACAAAGGGUGAGGAGGUGACUGAAAUUGGAACAGUGGAAGGACCCUUCACCAAAACCUGGAACUUCAGAAGAAUGGCAGGGCUGAAAAUGAUUAGUGUUAAUUCAUUCCAGUUGUGUUACCCUACCCAUAAGCCUCAGAAGUCAUGCGACUUCAUUUCCACCACUGUCAUGAAUCUACCCGGACUCAAGGGGAGGAUGCAGAGAUGCCACCUUUCAAUAAGAGGAUUAUCUAAGUUGCACUGAAGAAGAGCAUGUGGGAUGGAAGAUACUAUUGCAGUAUUUUUGGAAACUAAAGCCUACCAUAUUCUUCAAGCCUUACCAUCAAUUCUGUGUCCUCAGCAUUCUCCCCUUUGCUCACGUUAGCGAGAGUUAGUUUCUACUUUUGCUUGUAACCAAAGAAUAAUGUAGCUGGCAUAAGCACAAACAUAUCAGAAUAAGUAUAAAUAUUUAAACUUCCUUAUUAAAAGACAGAAGCUCUCAGAAUUUGUAGAAACAAAGCAAAGCAACCCCAAUAAAUUAAGAAUGUGGAUGCUUUUCAAAUCUCUCACAGAAAAUUAACAACAUUGGACCAGGCCAAAAAGUACGCUUUUUAUAAUUUCCCAAAAGCAACAAUCAUACAUACCAUAUUAUUAGUAGAUUUCAACAUUCAUGUAACAGAUCCAUCUAAAUCUGUAAUUCUCAAUUAUUGAAACUUUUUCACUAGAAUGACUUUAGUUUCUCAUUAUACUUAAAGUUACUCCCAGAGGCCCACCCAAGAAUUUAUCAUCAUCUUGAACAGCUUUUCUUUAGAAAAUAAAGCUCCAAUUUUCCUUUGUCCAAUUAGUCUACCCUUCCAGCUCCCCGGCAGCCUUCACUGACAUUACUGCUGUUUUUCACUGACAUUACCGCUGCCUUACAAAGACUCUAUUUCUGUACAUUGGUAGCAUUCUUCAUUAUUUUCCAAUUGGUCUUACCUCUUACCCUUCCUCUUUCCAAUUUUGUGCUGGACCUCAGACUGCCUGAAGGAGCCUGAACUUCCACGUGCUGUCUUCCAUAUAAUGUGAUCUGAGGUGAAGAGCAUGGUCCCUGGAGUUGAACUGCCUGAAGUAAAUCCCAAAAUAGAAAAAUAAAAAUAAAACAGUGGUUUUAUUGUUUUUAUUUCUUGUUUCUCAUUGAUAGGUAGAUAGAGAGUUUUCUUUAAAAGCCUAGUGCUUUUGGGAUAAUAAUGGCAAGUGAUUACAUCUCUUUUGUAUUAAAUAGGUUUGGAGAAAUUUUCUUAAUUAUCUGGUACUAUUUAAACUCAAAGGCAAACACAACACUCUAUCUAAAAUACCAGUAUUACACUUUCCCUAAAUGCAGAAAACUAUUUUUACUAAAAAUUUGGCAAGCACUUUCAAAACAGCAUUUUUCUGUUUUCAUUCCUUGAGAAUUUCCUAACAAGUAUGC
rnacentral:lncRNA from 10 species